rnacentral:rRNA from 1 species
CCAGCGAGUGGCGGACGGGUGAGUAACACGUAGGUAACCUGCCCCAAAGCGGGGGAUAACAUUUGGAAACAGAUGCUAAUACCGCAUAAUAAUUUGAAUCGCAUGAUUCAAAUUUAAAAGAUGGCUUCGGCUAUCACUUUGGGAUGGACCUGCGGCGCAUUAGCUUGUUGGUAGGGUAACGGCCUACCAAGGCUGUGAUGCGUAGCCGAGUUGAGAGACUGAUCGGCCACAAUGGAACUGAGACACGGUCCAUACUCCUACGGGAGGCAGCAGUAGGGAAUCUUCCACAAUGGGCGCAAGCCUGAUGGAGCAACACCGCGUGAGUGAAGAAGGGUUUCGGCUCGUAAAGCUCUGUUGUUAGAGAAGAACGUGCGUGAGAGCAACUGUUCACGCAGUGACGGUAUCUAACCAGAAAGUCACGGCUAACUACGUGCCAGCAGCCGCGGUAAUACGUAGGUGGCAAGCGUUAUCCGGAUUUAUUGGGCGUAAAGCGAGCGCAGGCGGUUUGAUAAGUCUGAUGUGAAAGCCUUUGGCUUAACCAAAGAAGUGCAUCGGAAACUGUCAGACUUGAGUGCAGAAGAGGACAGUGGAACUCCAUGUGUAGCGGUGGAAUGCGUAGAUAUAUGGAAGAACACCAGUGGCGAAGGC